UAAGGAAUAUUGGUCAAUGGACGCAAGUCUGAACCAGCCAUGCCGCGUGCAGGAAGACGGCCCUACGGGUUGUAAACUGCUUUUGUCAGGGAAUAAAUCAUUUUACGUGUAAGAUGUUGAAGGUACCUGAAGAAUAAGGAUCGGCUAACUCCGUGCCAGCAGCCGCGGUAAUACGGAGGAUCCAAGCGUUAUCCGGAUUUAUUGGGUUUAAAGGGUGCGUAGGCGGCGAAUUAAGUCAGAGGUGAAAGCCUGCAGCUCAACUGUAGAACUGCCUUUGAUACUGGUUCGCUUGAGUACAGAUAAAGUGGGCGGAAUGUGACAAGUAGCGGUGAAAUGCAUAGAUACGUCACAGAACACCGAUUGCGAAGGCAGCUCACUAAAGUGUAACUGACGCUGAGGCACGAAAGCGUGGGGAUCAAACAGGAUUAGAUACCCUGGUAGUCCACGCCCUAAACGAUGAUUACUCGCUGUCGGCGAUAUACAGUCGGCGGCUAAGCGAAAGCGUUAAGUAAUCCACCUGGGGAGUACGGUCGCAAGAUUGA
rnacentral:rRNA from 1 species